ensembl:lncRNA
CAACGGGUCAAACCUAAAAAUAUGUCGCAGGGCGGACGGUGAUUGUGGGACGCCCUGAACCUGCUCUGUACUGGAUGCUUCGAGACAGGUUUCUAUAGUUUUGGGAGGUGGAUGCUGAGGACCUGAGCUGAGUGAGCGCUUCUCAACCAUCACUUUCAUCCUCUGCAAGUUCAGCGCAGACGACACACUUUCACUGUGACGCCGACACAUACUCAACAGAGAUCCAAAGCACACACGGACCCCUUUACCCUGGCACAUUGUAGAACAACUGAACAAGCAGAUAAAAUGCAAACCCCUGUCGUUGCUCCCACACUCUAACCAUUAGCUCAGAAAUCAAGGUGCAGCUCUGGAUCCCUGCGCCAGGUCCUGAUUGCAAGUUACUGGGCCGGGGAGGAGAAAUGUGAAAUCCCAGAUAAAACCUGGAGCUUUAAGCAGCCAUGAAGUGCAUGUAAUGAGGAAAGUGAUGGGGUUUGGGUGUGCUGAGCACACAGUCACAUGGAGGAUGUCUUUGAGUGAGAGUCUCUGUGACAUUUGUCCUCCCUUAUCCAGGAUUUAUAGAGGACUCACAAAAUUUAACAAGGUUAAAUCAGUAGGCAGGUUAGCAAGGCAUAAGCACGGCUUGACAAAAAUUAGUAGACACUAGACAACCUGUGAAUGACUUGUAUUGCCUUGAUGGACAAUAUUACAUGUUCAUCAAGUAAGACCAACACACUCUUAUUUGUGUUCAAACUAUUCCACGGUUUGGUGAGUUGAUGAAUUUGUAUUGAUUCAUACAAAAGCAUUUGUACAUUUUUGUAUGAUCUGCUUAUACUUUAUUGAAGGUUAGUUUAGGGUUGGGUUGGUUAUAGGGUUAGAAGUGGAUUUUCACGAUUACAUUUUUUAAAAUUAAAAUCAUAUGAAUUUGCCACCAAUCGGGUCGAGUGAAACAGUACAUUGAUACUGUCCUAUAUGGUUCCAGAGAUUAUGCACUUCUCUUUGUUUUUAUGCUCUGUUAGGGGUUUUGUACAACUGCUAAGCUAAUGACCGUAUUUUGCAGAGCCUAAUAAGUCAAAAAUGCAUCUGCCCCGGAAAAGUUGAAUAAUGGCAGAUAUUAAUGGAGCUGGGCCCUGAAUGAUUCCAGGGUUGGCGUGGUAGUUAAACGCAUUCCAGGUUUUGUGGAGGCCAUUAUUCCUGCUCCUUAAUCACCACCUCUGCUUUUAUUACCCCCAAAGCCUCACUGUGUGGCUCGGGGAAACCACAUGUGGGCACAGGCCAGGAAAUGUCGAGCAGACAAGAAAAUGUCUUCCUUUCCCCUUAAAAGUAAUAGCCUUAACCAAACACCAAAGACAGGCUGUUCUUAACCAGAUUUUGCUGUCUAUAAUCGUUUAUGGGAUAUUGGAUGCUGUACUGGAGGAAUUGUUGGAUACUGGUUCUCAGAAUGUUUUUGUUGAAGAUUUAUAAUAAGUAUGCAGUUAAAAUGAUACUAGGAAGUUUAGACAUCAUAUAGUUUUCAUGUGUCACUUGAGGUUGUGUUGAGAAAGCUAAUCUUAAAAGUCAUGCUGAAGUCAGUGCUUCCCAAAUCCAGUCCUCGGGACCACUUCCGAGAAUGUUUUAGAUGUCUCCCUAAUUUAACACCCUAACAACAGAUGAGUUGAAUCAGGUGUUUUAAUUAGUGAAAUGAAUAAAUAUAAAAUUCACAAAGAACUUUGUCUGAGUAAUGGGC